rnacentral:rRNA from 1 species
UACGUAGGGAGCAAGCGUUGUCCGGAAUCAUUGGGCGUAAAGCGCAUGUAGGCGGCCCGAAAAGUCUGGUGUGAAAUCUUAAGGCUCAACCUUAAGCUGUCACUGGAUACUGUCGGGCUUGAGUCCGGGAGAGGAGAGUGGAAUUCCUGGUGUAGCGGUGAAAUGCGCAGAUAUCAGGAAGAACACCCGUGGCGAAAGCGGCUCUCUGGAACGGUACUGACGCUGAGACGCGAAAGCGUGGGGAGCGAACAGG